rnacentral:rRNA from 1 species
UACGAGGGGGGCAAGCGUUGUUCGGAAUUACUGGGCGUAAAGGGCUCGUAGGUGGCCAACUAAGUCAGACGUGAAAUCCCUCAGCUUAACUGGGGAACUGCGUCUGAUACUGGAUGGCUUGAGUUUGGGAGAGGGAUGCGGAAUUCCAGGUGUAGCGGUGAAAUGCGUAGAUAUCUGGAGGAACACCGGUGGCGAAGGCGGCAUCCUGGACCAAUACUGACACUGAGGAGCGAAAGCCAGGGGAGCAAACGGG